GAUUGGUUGUCUCCAGGUAAAGACAAGGUGGAGACAAGGUUCUGGUUGCCUGAGAUACUUUUUGGUCAGCUGACAAAUUCAGGAUGGAUAGAGAGGGAAUGAAGGCUUAGCUGAUGCUGGUCAAUGCCCUGAGUCAUCAGAUUUGGAAGAGAGCCUUCCCAACAAAUUCUCACUACCAGCUGACUCAAGGGGCGAAUUUCCUCACACCUGGCAGCCUCCUCACCCUUAAUGCUAACCAGCUGUGGUGGGAUGAAGCUGUCAAGAGCAUCUUUGGCACACCUUCACAAUGAGCAAGCCAUUACAGCUGGGGCUCACAACAGUCUCUGCAAAGGAACCAUUCAAAGACUGUGAAAGGGGUUAAGUCAGUUAAAAAUCCAAUGAAAUUUCUAUUCGGCAAUCCCAACGGCGUGACAAACUGGGAGAAGAGGCCGGGGCACGUGAACGGUGGACUAAUUUCAAUCAAGCCUUUCUGAGACUGUGAAUGCCAGAGAGCGAUUCCAUCUCAAAACUCAUCAUAUGUCUGAGCAUUGCUUCAUUGUUAACAUUUACAUUAGAGCCAUAAUUCCUUUUGGAAAAGUGUGUGUGUGUGUGUGUGUGUGUG